rnacentral:ncRNA from 1 species
AAUAACCAAAAAUAACACUUAGGCUAAGAGUUAAGUUAGUAAUUUUUCUUACAUCUUCCCCCACUU